rnacentral:rRNA from 1 species
ACUCCUGCGGGAGGCAGCAGUGGGGAAUUUUGGACAAUGGGCGAAAGCCUGAUCCAGCAAUGCCGCGUGUGUGAAGAAGGCCUUCGGGUUGUAAAGCACUUUUGUCCGGAAAGAAAUCCUUGGCUCUAAUACAGUCGGGGGAUGACGGUACCGGAAGAAUAAGCACCGGCUAACUACGUGCCAGCAGCCGCGGUAAUACGUAGGGUGCGAGCGUUAAUCGGAAUUACUGGGCGUAAAGCGUGCGCAGGCGGUUUGCUAAGACCGAUGUGAAAUCCCCGGGCUCAACCUGGGAACUGCAUUGGUGACUGGCAGGCUAGAGUAUGGCAGAGGGGGGUAGAAUUCCACGUGUAGCAGUGAAAUGCGUAGAGAUGUGGAGGAAUACCGAUGGCGAAGGCAGCCCCCUGGGCCAAUACUGACGCUCAUGCACGAAAGCGUGGGGAGCAAACAGGAUUAGAAACCCCUGUAGUCCCAU